rnacentral:rRNA from 1 species
UACGUAGGUGGCAAGCGUUGUCCGGAAUUAUUGGGCGUAAAGCGCGCGCAGGCGGUCUUUUAAGUCUGAUGUGAAAGCCCACGGCUCAACCGUGGAAGGUCAUUGGAAACUGGAAGACUUGAGUGCAGAAGAGAAGAGCGGAAUUCCACGUGUAGCGGUGAAAUGCGUAGAGAUGUGGAGGAACACCAGUGGCGAAGGCGGCUCUUUGGUUCGUGAUGAACGUGACGUGAGGCGCGAAAGCGUGGGGAGCAAACAGG